rnacentral:rRNA from 1 species
GUGGGGAAUAUUGGACAAUGGGCGAAAGCCUGAUCCAGCCAUGCCGCGUGUGUGAAGAAGGUCUUCGGAUUGUAAAGCACUUUAAGUUGGGAGGAAGGGUUGUAGAUUAAUACUCUGCAAUUUUGACGUUACCGACAGAAUAAGCACCGGCUAACUCUGUGCCAGCAGCCGCGGUAAUACAGAGGGUGCAAGCGUUAAUCGGAAUUACUGGGCGUAAAGCGCGCGUAGGUGGUUAGUUAAGUUGGAUGUGAAAUCCCCGGGCUCAACCUGGGAACUGCAUUCAAAACUGACUGACUAGAGUAUGGUAGAGGGUGGUGGAAUUUCCUGUGUAGCGGUGAAAUGCGUAGAUAUAGGAAGGAACACCAGUGGCGAAGGCGACCACCUGGACUGAUACUGACACUGAGGUGCGAAAGCGUGGGGAGCAAACAGGAUUAGAAACCCGAGUAGUCC